CUCCGAUGGGAAAAGAAGGCAAGGGUAGAGCGCAUCGGCGGCGAUUUUAAAGGGGAGAGGAGGGGCACUUUGGGAUCGGCGGUGUGUUCUCGGUUUAGGGACGGCGGCUCUGGGGGGUUAGGCGAGGCAGCCUAAAGAAGGGCGCUUAGCUUCAAAGGCAGCUAAGCGCCAGCUAAUCCCGCCCCGGAGCGGCAGCGAGAGCACUAAGGCUCCCAAGCGCGCAGCGCGUCGCCCUAAGUGUGGCCGGCGGUACAGCUCCACGAAGGGGAUGGGCGGCGGCCCGAUGCACGCUUUGGGUCACCGGCACGGGGGGCAAGGGCACCACCUCUGCUGGCGAUUCUUUCUUUCCCUUUCCCGGCUUUUCUUUCUCUUUUCCUCCUUACUGUUCUUUAGAAGGGUAGUCCCACCACCACUCUGUUUUGUAAGUUUUGCGUCGGUAUUCUUCUCUUUCGUACUUCUAUGCUCGUUUCGACCGGGCCUCAGGUUUUGACGGAGGUUUCUUGUCAAACUCGUCAACCUCUUCUCACCUGAGAGUCUUCUCAUACCCCGAGGAAGAAAGUAAGUCUGUCAUGUACCUAGUGGUCUCUCGAGAGUCCUGUCGUCAUUCGCUUCUUUCCACCAUGAGGGUCCGGGAUCAGUUUUAUUCUUACCCUGUCAUGAAGCGUAAUUCUAUUUUUCUCUAGUCCUUUGAGGCAGUCGGUACAGCCUACCAAGAUCCCAAGAAGUCGUUGGUGGACAGGUUGUUUACCGAUGUGGAAGUAGGAACAACUCAUACGUCUUACGUCAAGUUGGAGCGUCCCUACAAUACCACUUCAGUCGACGACCAGAGGUCGUUUCGUAGUUCUCCCCAUGAGUUAGACACGGUUUUGUUUACCUACAUUUUGGGGGACGUUGCUAGAACGUUUCUCAAGGAAGGUACUGUUUAUAACGAGGUUUCCACCUAGGGGGUUGGAGUCGCUUCAAGUGCGUUUUCUAUCUAUGGGGUUGGAGUCGUUUCUAGUACGUUUUCUAUCUAGGGGCCCACGGACAAUUACGAUGUGGAAGUAGACGGUUCCACUUCCCUUCACGACUAGGAAACGGAUGCGUCGACUGUGCUGCUCAACAAGGAGGUGGACGGUUCCGCCGUGUCUCUCAGCUGUAAGGAGGACGGUUCCAAUAACUGUAAGGAGUAAGUUUCCGCAACGUUUUCCAACUAGGAGACCACGGUAGGUUCCACUAGGCAUCUCUACGAGGAGGUGUCUCAAACGGCCACAACGUCUUCCUUUGUUAUUUUCAACGAAGAAGGGUGGUCGGUCUGUCCGUCGGCGUCGGACAAGACGUGUUUGGUUUCCACGGACAUCAGAGAGGGGAGUAGUUUGUCGUCGUCAGUUCGUGGAACGGCUUUCUUCUCGGAACAAGGAGACCGUCCUUGUGACUUUUUCCGAGUCAUGGUCUCCAAUUCGUCAGUUUCAGACUAGCAUUCUUCUCGGCGUUCCGACUCUUCCUUCUCUUAUUUCUCUCCUUCAAGGCUCUAGAUAAACAAUGGACCUUAGGUGGAAGGAACCUCUAACUCCUCUGGACCUUAGAGCCGCUGGUCCUAACCAACGAACCGCCACGUUUCUUUGGACUACGAAUGUUGUCGUCGACGUUCCGUUCACUAACAAACCGCGGGUACCUCGACCUCAAAAGUACCGUUGGUUCCCGAUAAGUAAACGGACUGGAACUACAGAUAGUCAACGGUAUACAACAAGGGAAAAUCCAAACACAUCCUUCUGACUCCAAUCUACUCUUCAUCUUCUCUACAACCCUCUAUCGACACGGCCACACCCUCUAUCACAAGGGGGUGCCGUCAAAAGGUCGAAACAAAGGAUCAAAAAGAAAAGGUCCUGCUACCUAAACCGUUGGAAGACAUCACAACAAUUAGAUAAACUGAAUGAAAACCAAAGGUUCGUUAACUAGAUGCCUGUUGGAACCUGGAACUCAAAAUUCCAAUAACAAUGGGGACUUUACUUAUGUAGUAAGUCUAUCGUGUGGUACAUUUAUUUAGCUCUACUUAGCACCGAAAACACAGGCUUAAUGUCGUAGUCCGUGUGACUUUCCGUAAGCAAG
rnacentral:rRNA from 1 species